AACGAACGGCUGGCGGCAGGCUUAACACAUGCAAGUCGAACGCCCGCAAGGGGAGUGGCAGACGGGUGAGUAACGCGUGGGAAUCUACCCAGUUCUACGGAACAACUGAGGGAAACUUCAGCUAAUACCGUAUACGCCCUACGGGGGAAAGAUUUAUCGGAAUUGGAUGAGCCCGCGUUGGAUUAGCUAGUUGGUGAGGUAACGGCUCACCAAGGCGACGAUCCAUAGCUGGUCUGAGAGGAUGAUCAGCCACACUGGGACUGAGACACGGCCCAGACUCCUACGGGAGGCAGCAGUGGGGAAUAUUGGACAAUGGGCGCAAGCCUGAUCCAGCCAUGCCGCGUGAGUGAUGAAGGCCUUAGGGUUGUAAAGCUCUUUCAGUGGGGACGAUAAUGACGGUACCCACAGAAGAAGCCCCGGCUAACUUCGUG
rnacentral:rRNA from 1 species